rnacentral:rRNA from 1 species
GAUGAACGCUGGCGGCGUGCUUAACACAUGCAAGUCGAACGAGAAGUGGAGACGGAAACCUUCGGGCGGAAGACUUUAUUUCGAGUGGCGGACGGGUGAGUAACGCGUGGGUAACCUGCCUCAUCCAGGGGGAUAACAGUUGGACACGACUGUUAAUACCGCAUAAGACCACAGCACCGCAUGGUGCGGGGGUAAAAACUCCGGUGGUAUGAGAUGGACCCGCGUUCGAUUAGCCAGUUGGCGGGGUAACGGCCCACCAAAGCGACGAUCGAUAGCCGAUCUGAGAGGAUGACCGGCCACAUUGGGACUGAGACACGGCCCAAACUCCUACGGGAAGCAGCAGUGGGGAAUAUUGCACAAUGGGGGAAACCCUGAUGCAGCGACGCCGCGUGAGUGAAGAAGUAUUUCGGUAUGUAAAGCUCUAUCAGCAGGGAAGAAAAUGACGGUACCUGAGUAAGAAGCCCCGGCUAACUACGUG